UACGGGGGGGGCAAGCGUUGUUCGGAAUUACUGGGCGUAAAGGGCUCGUAGGCGGCGUGGUAAGUCAAUUGUGAAAUCUCCGAGCUUAACUCGGAACGGUCAAUUGAUACUGCUGUGCUAGAGUGCAGAAGGGGCAAUCGGAAUUCUUGGUGUAGCGGUGAAAUGCGUAGAUAUCAAGAGGAACACCUGAGGUGAAGACGGGUUGCUGGGCUGACACUGACGCUGAGGCGCGAAAGCCAGGGUAGCAAACGGG
rnacentral:rRNA from 1 species